UACGUAGGGUGCGAGCGUUAAUCGGAAUGUACUGGGCGUGAAAGCGUGCGCAGGCGGUGAGCUGUGUCCGAUGUGAAAGCCCCGGGCUUAACCUGGGAAUGGCAUUGGAAACUGGCUCGCUGGAGUGUGGCAGAGGGGGGGUGGAAUUCCGCGUGUAGCAGUGGAAAUGCGUAGAUAUGCGGAGGAACACCGAUGGCGAAGGCAAUCCCUCGGCCUGCACUGACGCUCAUGCACGAAGCGUAGGGAGCGAACAGG
rnacentral:rRNA from 1 species